UGGUUAGUGGCACGUGCACGUAUUUCAUUUUAAGAAAAUGAAUUUUAAGUGUCCAAGGUCCAUUACAGACUGGUCAACGUGACCCUGGGGAUCCUGGCGAGGUCAUUUGAGAGUAUCUCAACAGAACAUCCAACUUCUUUCCCAUUUUAAUUCUUAGUUUAAUUGGGCAAUUAUACAUACUGACUUAAUUUUAUUCAAUUAGAUAAGAGGAUUCGUUAACAAAAUAUUGGUGAUGCCCAUUUAGAAGUCUACUAAAAGAGACUUACAGUAUCAACAUCCUAUUUGAAAAUUUGGGUCAAUCAUAUUCUUCGAAGAACCUUUGUUAAUACAAAUGUGGGCUCCAGAACAUAAAAGUGCAAAGACAGCUGUAGGUACAAACUGAAACAACUAAAAAGGUAAGUGAGGUGGUUAAUUUGUGAGAAGGGAUGUUACCUUGACUCCGAGCUAUAGCGAGAGAACAAAAGUAAUAGACACACACCUUACAGCUAUAAGAUUAGAAAAUUUUCAGGAGAACACUGAGAUUUUGAAAGUUCUCUUGCUACGCACUUGGACCAAAAAGUAAUCAGUCGCCCACAAGCCAAGAGCAGCUCUUUAACAAUUAAAAGAUCGAAUAAAGACUCUGCAUCAAGUUCGCCCAUUAACUGUAUCAUAUUCCAAAGGCUAGUCCAGGGCAGGUUUAAUAAGCAUGAUUCAUUUAACAACACCAACUUGCUCUUCUUCUUUCUAUGCAUCAAUCCAGCCAGGCCAGGUUUAAUAAGCAUGAUUCAUUUAACAACACCAACUUGCUCUUCUUCUUUCUAUGCAUCAAUCCAAACCAUAAUCUUAAUCCGGCAGAAUUAGAAAAUUACAAGUCAAGCAGUACAAUGAAUAAGCACUAAAACGGACUCAAGGGAGCAUGCAAUUAAGGUAGCGAUGUAAGAUAUGAAUGAAUCAAAAGGAAAAAGAAUGAAGAAUCAUUAAACUUGAAUGAACUAUCAUGUCAAGUUCCACCAACAGCUUAACUUCUGAAAUAUC
rnacentral:lncRNA from 1 species